GUAACACGACAUGUCAUGGGUGGGGCCAGAAAAAGGGCCCACGUGGCAGUAACAGCGAGGAAGAUAUCCAUCCGCAAGUAUCUGGGCACCGGGCAGCGGAAACUCAAGCCGGCCAUGCUGGGCCUUCGCGCUUGCGGCGGCACGGCGCCGGCGUCGGUGCCCGCGCUCGUCCGGGCGCGCCUGGCGCUGCGCGCCUCCUCCACAGCCUACGACGCCGCCACCGUCGCCGCUGCUUGCUCCGCUUCGUCCAGCCUGGAAAAGCUCGCCGCCGAGCGCAAAGGUUUGGCAAAAGUAGUAUUAAAGAAGGGCAAGACCCAAAUAUUCGGUGAUGGGAGCCCAAUGGUGUAUAGUGGUGCCGUUGAUAGAAUAAUCGGUCGACCUCCUCCAAAAUCCGGUGAUAUUGUUCUGGUAGCUGAUGGGACAGAGAAAUCUAUUGGAUGGGGUCUCUAUAACUCUGUGUCCAUGUUUUGUGUUAGGCUGAUGCAGCUGGAAGAAGAGGCAAGAAGAGAUCCCACUUGUGCACUUAAUAUGGAAAGACUGCUCAAAGCAAGGAUUUCAUCUGCUGUGGAUUUGCGGCGAAGUUUGGGUCUCCCUUCAGCUAACACAAAUGCUUAUCGCCUUAUCAACAGUGAAGGAGACAGAUUGUCUGGUCUAAUAGUGGAUAUCUUUGCUGACGUUGCCGUGAUUGCUUCAUCUGCUGCUUGGGUUGAGAAAUAUAGGGAAGAAAUCCAGUUUCUUGUUAGCAAAGUUAAUGGCAUCAACCAUAUAAAGUGGAGGCCAUCAGCAGAUAUUUUGAAAGAGGAAGGAUUGGAUAUAUCAGAACAAAAUGAGUAUGCUUCUUCACGCUCAACUGUGAAGGUCAUGGAGAAUGGCAUUGUAUACAUAGUCUCAUUAGAGGGUCAGAAGACAGGAUUUUAUGCAGAUCAACGGGAAAACCGCCAUUUUGUAUCAUUGCUCUCAAAGGACCAAAGGGUCCUUGACAUUUUCUGCUACAGUGGUGGUUUUGCUCUACAUGCAGCCAAGGGUGGUGCUGAUAAUGUCAUUGGCAUCGAUUCAUCGGGAUCAGCACUAGACCUUGCCAAUGAGAAUAUAAUUCUCAAUGAGUUAAAUCCUGGAAGGAUCUCAUUUGUAAAAGGAGAUGCAACUGCAUUCAUGAAAGGAGCUAUCUCGAAAAAUGAACUGUGGGACUUGGUAAUCCUUGACCCCCCAAAGCUGGCACCUCAAAAGAAGGUGCUACAAAGUGCAUCCGGUAUGUAUAGAAGCUUGAAUGCUCUUGCGAUGCAAGUAGUGAAGCCAGGGGGAUUACUCAUGACAUGUUCUUGUUCUGGAGCUAUGACUCAAAGUGGCAUGUUCCUUAAAACCAUUCAGGUAUUUGACCUUACCCAUCUUGGACAACUACUCAACACACAUCCUGUCCCCUGGAGCGUACAAGGCCCUGUAAGGCUUUUUACUGCUUUCCAGCAUGUUGAAUCAUUCUCUUAUUUAUGCUGUAGUUCUCCCGACAUUUGAUUUAGUUGUGAGAUGAUUAAAAAAAGUAGGUGCUCCCGUUGAUAAUUUUCUGUUAAUUUGCCCACGUAUUUAACUGUUCAGAAACUUCCUCUUCUAAUGUUCUUUCGUAUUAGGGUGCUGCAUCAAUGGCCGGCAAAAAGGUGACAAUCUUACGCCAAGCUGGGGCAGCUUGUGAUCAUCCCAUUGACCCUGCAUACCCUGAGGGCCAGUAUCUCAGCAAUUACUUGCUAAGAGUGGCAUGAAAAAGAAAAAAACGGAUGUAGAAGCAGCAGAAGUUUAUAGUUGUAGCAGCCUGACAAGCCUUAUACUGAUCACGUCUGAUUUCUGAAGAGCUUAAGUUAAUCUGUCAUAGUUUAGUCAUGCAGGUGACCAGAAGAAAAUCAGUUUUGCAUACAUCUUGAUAUAAUUGCAAUCCGUGUGACCUAAAAAGUCACUAACCUUGGUUUAAUUAAGUAGAGCAAGGUGAAUGCAAAUGCCAAGAAGAAGCAGAGUCCACCAACAGUCAGAUAUGCUAGGCCAAGAAAAUCGUUCUUUCCACCAAGCCAGGUUGUGGUAGAAAGCACCAACUUCUUCUUGCCACCAAAGCUAUAGGUGUUGUAAUUGUUCUCCAAAUGGACUGUAAUGGUGUCGUUUACCUUGAGAUCAACAUGUAUCCUACCAUACAGCUUUCUGAAUGUAGGAAGUGCUGCAGUUCGCAUCCAAA